AGAGGAAGUUAGAGACUUAAACUGUGCAUAUGUUUGAUCCUGAACUGUAGGAAUUGCUUGACUCUAUAUGCUGUGUGGCUGAUGAAGUGGAAGAAGCCAUCAUUUAUUUGACUGCCAGUUCAGCUUCAGAUGAUCAAAUACUGUUUGACAUGGCAUAAGAACCCUGAUUCACUAUAACAUAGGGAACAGUUCAUUACUGGCAUGAGCGGGGACUAGAUGAUGUACCAGAUCUCUUCCAUCUCUACUUUCUGUGAUUCUAUGGGCACACACUGUACAUCAGCUAAAACUUUUGAAAGAUUAAAAGCUUCAACCAUCAUUUUCGGCAGUCAGAGUAUAGCUGGAGCACAGGAUGAUCUGGCCAUACAUCCUCACUCCUAAUCACACUGGACAUUUGAAGGAGGGUGACACAAACUUUAGAAG